GGGUCCCGAAUUUGGGGCUGGGGGUCCCAAAUUUGGGUCUGGGGGUCCCAAACCAGCCAAAAACCCCAAAUUUGAGUCUGGGGGUGCCAAGUUUGGGUCUGAAAAUCCCAAAUCUGGGUCUGGGGGUGCCAAAUUUGAGUCUGGGGGUCUCGAGUUUCACUCUGGGGGUCCCAAAUGUGGCUCCAGGCACCCCAGACCCCCCCAAUUUGAGUCUGGGGGUUCCAAAUUUGAGUCUGGGGGUCCCAAACCCCCGGAAUUUGAGUCUGGGGUCCCCCGGAGCCGCGAAUUUGAGUCUGGGGGUCCCAAACUCCCCCAAUCUGAGUCUGGGGGUCCCAAACCCCGGGAAUUUGAGUCUGGGGGUCCCAAACCCCUGCAAUCUGAGUCUGGGGGCCCCAAGAGCCGGGAAUUUGAGUCUGGGGGUUCCAAACCCCCCCAAUCUGAGUCUGGGGGUCCCAAACCCGGUUCUAAGCCCCCCAAACCCCGGGAAUUUGAGUCUGGGGUCCCGAGGAGCCGGCAAUCUGAGUCUGGGGGUCCCCGCGGGCGGGAAUUUGAGUCUGGGGGUCCCAAAUUUGAGUCUGGGGGUCCCAAACCCCCCCAAUCUGAGUCUGGGGGUCCCCGGAGCCGGGAAUUUGAGUCUGGGGGUCCCAAGAGCCGGGAAUUUGAGUCUGGGGGUCCCAAACCCCCCCAAUUUGAGUCUGGGGUCCCGAGGAGCCGGGAAUUUGAGUCUGGGGGUCCCAAACCCGGUUCUAAGCCCCCCAAACCCCCGCAAUUUGAGUCUGGGGGCCCCCGGAGCCGGGAAUUUGAGUCUGGGGGUCCCAAACCCCCGCAAUUUGAGUCUGGGGGUCCCCGGGGGCGGGAAUUUGAGUCUGGGGGUCCCAAACCCGGUUCUAAGCCCCCCAAACCCCCCCAAUCUGAGUCUGGGGGUCCGAAAUUUGAGUGGCGGGAAUUUGAGUCGGGGGUCGCGGCGCUGUGCCUGCUGUGCCGCGAGGCCGUGAACCGGGCGC
rnacentral:lncRNA from 1 species